rnacentral:lncRNA from 1 species
ACUGAUCGAUAGAACUUAUCAUAUUGUUUAGAAAUAUUUAUCUUUUGAUCUAUCAUCUUGUGCGUGAGUGUAUUUUAAGAAAAAAAGAGAGUAAAUAUGGGGAAGUUCGUAAGAAAGGGUUGGGUAGUGGGGUGUGUGAUGGUGUUACUGAUGUCGACUCAAGUUUUGGGAAGAUUAUAUGAUACAGAUAGUCAUGGCGGUGGCAAAAACCGACAUAAGAAGCAUGGAGGAGGCAGUCAUGGUGCUGGAGCUGGUGGUGGUGCCGGUGGAGGUGGAAGUGUUGGGGUUGGUAUAGGAGCAGGAGGUGGUGCUAGCGGUGGCAUUGGAGUCGGUGGUGGAAUUGGUGGAGGAGGAGGUAUAGGCGGUAGUGGAAGUGGUAGUGCUGGAGGCCAUGGCGGUAAACAUGGUGGUAAAG